AAAUACUAAAUUUUUAUUUGAUAAGUAAUCUAAUCACCCCCUCUAGACAUACUUUUAAUCCUACAGCGCUGCGCCCGCGGCGCCCGUGCCUCCAUCUCCUCCUCCACCGCCGGGCUGAAUCCCACCGCCACCUACACGCCAGCGCCGGUGCUCCCCGCGCCUUGGCCGCCUCCUCGCUUGCUCGUGUCGCUGCUCACCGUGCCUUGGCCAGGCCAGCUCCGCUGCUCACCGCGACAUGGCCGCCCCCUCGCUUGCUCGUGCUGCCCAUCCACCGCCGCGGCCUACCGCUAUUUGCCGUAUGUUUCGGCCAACCGGCGGCGGCCGGUACGGCGUCUCCUGGGUACUGGGACGCGGGCCGGGCGUGGUUCCGUUGCCGCUGCCCCAGAUCGUCGAGGAGCAGCACCAUAUCGGGCUGGGCACACCCCCUUCCUCUGCUGCAAGGUGCGGUUGGAACGCAGGCCAUCCGCCGUUUGGUAACCGGCUAAGUUGCUGUGCUCCGCUACUGUCGUCGUUGUCUAUCUACGUCUUCCCCAAGACUUCAAAUUCUGGUCUGCCACAUAGCUUUUCAGGGUUUGUGCAAUGAUCCCGAUGACCGUACACUCGAGUGCUACCCCGGUGAGAGCCUCAGCCAUGGCGUGGACUGAAUCCAGACCUGCAGUUACGGACAAUUUUGUCUCCCUCCGGCUGCAACUUUCUCCUCUGGUGACGGGAAGUUUUUUUCGGCAAGCUGAGCUUCUACAACUAGGAAAUUUCAGAAUACUGGGACGUUGUCUGUCAAGUAUAAGUCAUGUAUUCUGUCUUGCUAUAUUUGAUUUCUUUUGCUUCCAGUGUUACUUAUAAAAUAAUAUCACACUAAUGAUAUGUCACCCAAUUAGAUGGUGUCAUCGGUACAUUUUCUUUCUCAUUCCUCCGGUAGCAUCACUUCCCAUUUACUCUUGAGACUUCAACUCCUUUCUCCUCUUGAUAGGGUUGGUAACCGAAGGCAUCAUAAUUUCUUCUCAAUUUUGCAAUUAACUUCCAUUCACCACCAAGAGGCAAUUAAAAUUAUUAUUUGAUCUCUCUAUUCCUGUCCAUUCACAUUCUUCCACACCGGCACCACCCAUGACCCAAAUAUUAUCCCUCUUUUCGAUUGAUCUUCUAACACCUCCUCUGAUCUUCUAGCACCUCCCUCUAGAUCCAGGUUGUCCUCUCUUGCAUCCGUGCAGUUGUGUAUAACUUGACAUGGUUGGGACUUGGGAGUUUUAGCUGCAGCUAGCUAGCCCGGAUGGAUAUGGUUAUCCAUUAGGAUGUUCUCCACGAUCAGCCACACCAUCCUUUUGAAGUCUUCAGUAUGCCAGGCAACUCUCCAUACAUGUCUAUAUCAAAUCUCAACACUCUCAUUGAAGAAUUGAUCAGCUACACUCGGUUGAAUAUCUUAACAUGACAAAAGAAAUCCAUGAAAAAGUUUGUUGAAGAAUUGAUCAGCUCCACUCCGUUCAAGAUCUUGACACGAUCAAAGAAAUAUGUUCUCAAAAAAUAAAAGCAUGAUUUAAUAAAUAGCAUCUGUAGACAAAAUAGUAUCGUCAAGAUUUCAACCACCUUAUAUGGAACGCCUUUACUACUAUAUAUGUAUUAAAAAAACAUUUUGGUAUGUAAGUAUCACUACUGACUGUAAGUAUGUGUGCCAUAUAGUACUGUUACAUACUUAGAUAAGAUGUAACACUCACAAUUAUGAUAACUUUGUGGUUGACUUUACUGUAGUUA